GUCCUACGGGGGGCAGCAGUGAGGAAUAUUGGUCAAUGGGCGGGAGCCUGAACCAGCCAAGUCGCGUGAGGGAAGACGGUCCUAUGGAUUGUAAACCUCUUUUGUCGGGGAGCAAAGAGACCACGUGUGGUCAAAAGCGAGAGUACCCGAAGAAAAAGCAUCGGCUAACUCCGUGCCAGCAGCCACGGUAAUACGGAGGAUGCGAGCGUUAUCCGGAUUUAUUGGGUUUAAAGGGUGCGUAGGCGGGACGGUAAGUCAGCGGUAAAAAUGCGGAGCUCAACUCGGUCGAGCCGUUGAAACUGUCG
rnacentral:rRNA from 1 species